rnacentral:rRNA from 1 species
GCCUAAAACCUAGCCCAACAAGCAUAUAUGCAUACAACCAAGUUAACUAAACCUGCCGACUAAACCAUUUUAUACUUUUAGUAAAGGAGAUCGAAAAAGUUUUGGAGCUAUAACAACAGUACCGCAAGGGAACGAUGAAAUAUAAUUGAAAAACCUUAAGCAAUAAAAAGUAAUGGUUACUCCGUGUACCUUUUGCAUCAUGGUUUAACUAGUCUAAUCAAGCAAAACGUAUUUUAGUUUGCCUCCCCGAAACUAAGUGAGCUACUUCAAGGCAGCUAAAAGAGCCAACCCGUCUCUGUUGCAAGAGAGUGGGAUGACCUUCAAGUAGAGGUGAUAGACCUAACGAACUUAGUAAUAGCUGGUUACUUAAAAAAAGGAUCUAAGUCCAACCUAAAAAUUUCAAACUGUUUACCAAAACAUCACUUAAAUUUUUAGCGUAAUUCAAAUAAGGUACAGCCUAUUUGAAACAGGAUACAACCUAAACCAAUGGAUAACAUCAGCCUACCAUACAACUAAGUGGGCCUAAAAGCAGCCAUCUUUAAAAUUGCGUCAAAGCUCAAUUGUUGACACGCCUAAUACUUCUACUAUUAUUUUAAUCCUUCACCAAUAUUAAGUAAUUCUAUACUCCUAUAGAAAAUUUAAUGUUAAAACUAGUAACAAGAAGAAGACCUUCUCUUAAAUGUAAGUGUAAAUCAAACUAGACAAACUAUUGAUGUUUAACAUGCCUGAGCCCAAAGUAAUAACUAAACAAGAAAACCUUACUCUUAUUCAUGUUAACCUAACACAAGAACAUUACAAGAAAGAUUAAAAGAAAAAGAAGGAACUCGGCAAAUAUUAGCCCCGCCUGUUUACCAAAAACAUCGCCUCUUGACUCAUAUAAGAGGUCCAGCCUGCCCAGUGACUCUGUUCAACGGCCGCGGUAUCCUAACCGUGCGAAGGUAGCGUAAUCACUUGUUCUUUAAAUGUGGACUAGUAUGAAUGGCACCACGAAGGUUAUACUGUCUCCUUUUUCUAAUCAGUGAAACUAAUCUCCCCGUGAAGAAGCGAGGAUAAAAAUAUAAGACUAGAAGACCCUAUGGAGCUUGUAAACAAAGUAGCACUCAGCCACAUAAAUGAAAAAAAUUCCAGAAUCACUAUCUUCCUCAGGCAAUCUGACUACACGUUUUUGGUUGGGGUGACCGCGGAGCAUAACACAACCUCCAUGUUGAAAGAAAGUUUUCUAAACUAAGAACUACACCUCUAAGUAUCAAAAGAUUGACAUCCAUUGACCCAAUAUAUUUGAUCAACGAACCAAGUUACCCUAGGGAUAACAGCGCAAUCCACUUCAAGAGCCCCUAUCGACAAGUGGGUUUACGACCUCGAUGUUGGAUCAGGGUAUCCCAAUGGUGCAGCCGCUAUUAAAGGUUCG